CCUGGGGACCUUGGUUCUGCCAAGGGUCCAUUUGGAUAUUUAUAACAUCGUCUCCCAGGCGUACAAAAUGACCAGCUUACAAGUUAGCCUGCUAUGGAUAUAUUGGCCUGUGGUUGCCUUGGCAGCACCAGUCCCGGUGGUUUCGCCGGCCUCAUACAUCCUGCCUCCAGCAUGGUCCUCACCCUUCACUGGGAAGCAGAGACGCGGAGAUGGGCGUCACCUGCCUGCCCGUCGAGGGAGCCUGCAGGAGACUCUGAGCUCCAUGGGAGCAGGGACCCUGUGUGAUGUUGGCUGCUGGAUCCCAGUGCCCAGAAGGUUCUCUGGCACAUACAGUUUCAGCUAAAAAGUCCUUUCCUCAGGUUGGCCAUCCCUGCAAAAGCCUUCCUCCCUUGGCCUGGCUCCCAGCUGCAUCCGGGGGUUCCUCCGCUGGACGUCUGUCUCCCCAGGCUGUCUGCCGGUCCUGCCUGGGCACGGGCUUUGUCUAGUGCGUGCAGAUCCAGGUGUACCACUGCACCUGGCGCACAGUCAGCUCACACUUGCUGCGCACAGCAGACCCGUGUGUCCACUCAUCCACCCACCCGCCUACUGCCUGUCCAUCCGCCCAGCCGACUGCCCGCCAACCGACCCCCUCGCGCCCUCUCUUAGGGAAAGGGAGAUUUGUUGGCUUGUCCCACUCCUUCAUCCAUCUGUUGGCGUAGCCAGCCCUCUCUACCCAUGUGUUGCUUGCUUUGCUGUCCGCCCACCCAUUCAGCCACCCUCCAUCCACUCACCCAUACAUCCGCCUGUCCAUCCAUUCAUUAAUCCGG